rnacentral:rRNA from 1 species
UACGUAGGGUGCGAGCGUUGUCCGGAUUUAUUGGGCGUAAAGAGCGUGUAGGCGGCCAUGUAGGUCCGGUGUGAAAACUCGAGGCUUAACCUCGAGAUGUCAUCGGAAACCAUUUGGCUAGAGUCCGGAAGAGGAGAGUGGAAUUCCUGGUGUAGCGGUGAAAUGCGCAGAUAUCAGGAAGAACACCAUGGCGAAAGCAGCUCUCUGGGACGGUACUGACGCUGAGACGCGAAAGCGUGGGGAGCGAACAGG